rnacentral:rRNA from 1 species
CCCUACGGGGCGCAGCAGGCGCGAAAACUUUACAAUGCGGGCAACCGUGAUAAGGGAACCUCGAGUGCCUGUACAUGCAGGCUGUCUGGGUGUCUAAAACACACCCAAAGAAAGGGCCGGGCAAGACCGGUGCCAGCCGCCGCGGUAAUACCGGCGGCUCGAGUGGUGGCCACUUUUAUUGGGCUUAAAGCGUUCGUAGCUGGGUUGUUAAGUCUCUUGGGAAAUCUGGCAGCUUAACUGUCAGGCGUCUAAGAGAUACUGGCAAUCUAGGAACCGGGAGAGGUGAGGGGUACUUCGGGGGUAGGAGUGAAAUCCUGUAAUCCA